GUCUCCUGUCAAACGAAAAAGGCCCAGAAAAAUGGAAUGCGUGUCUCAGGCACCUGUACUCUCGGGUGAAAACAAAUGUACCAUGGAUCCAAAAGGAGGCCUUUGUGAUUUACCAUCAGACCUGCUCAGACAGAUUCUUCUAGAUGUUGUUUUCGAUGAAGGAGAUGGAGCCUUCCUCACACUCUCACUUGUGUGAAGAAAGUUUUGUGACAUUGUCUGCAGUCAAGUUUUCCGUAGAAAAUAUCACUUGGCCUGGCUCGACAGUAUGUGUUCUUUACUUUAAUUAAAUGAAUAAGGUGUUUUAAAUAGAUUUUCAUUUGGUAAUAUCUUUUUUUUUUUUUUGUAGGCAUCACUGACUGGAAAUCUACAAGUCCAGAUAUAAAAGACAAAUAAAGAGUGGAGUUCAAACUCUCCACGUGUGAAUCAUGUGGUUGGCUGUACAAAGACACAAUUGGAUACUGUGGUGAUGGGAAGAAAGGGGUGUAUAGAGCUUUUUAUUCUGACAAAGAGUUCGAUGGCUACUGCUCGAUGCACUGCUUCUAUACAAUGAAUGACUGAAUGAAUGGAUGGCUGGAUUUGUAGUUACGGAUGGUAUUCGUGGCUAACUGAUGGAUGAUUGGAUUUGUGGUGAAUGGAAGAGGAUGGAUUUGUUUAUUUGAUUUAAAUUUGUUUGUUUUUUUGUUGAUUAAACAAAUGUUUCAUGGACUUGUGUCUGUUUUAAACUGAAUAUUGUUUUUAACAUAAGGCUAAUAAGUUUUUAUC